CCUACGGGAGGCAGCAGUAGGGAAUAUUGCUCAAUGGGGGAAACCCUGAAGCAGCAACGCCGCGUGGAGGAUGAAGGUUUUCGGAUUGUAAACUCCUUUUGUUAGAGAAGAUAAUGACGGUAUCUAACGAAUAAGCACCGGCUAACUCCGUGCCAGCAGCCGCGGUAAUACGGAGGGUGCAAGCGUUACUCGGAAUCACUGGGCGUAAAGAGCGCGUAGGCGGGAUAGCAAGUCAGAUGUGAAAUCCUAUGGCUUAACUAUAGAACUGCAUUUGAAACUGUUAUUCUAGAGUAUGGGAGAGGUAGGUGGAAUUCUUGGUGUAGGGGUAAAAUCCGUAGAGAUCAAGAGGAAUACUCAUUGCGAAGGCGACCUACUAGAACAUAACUGACGCUGAUGCACGAAAGCGUGGGGAGCAAACAGGAUUAGAUACCCUUGUAGUC
rnacentral:rRNA from 1 species